rnacentral:rRNA from 1 species
AUUGAACGCUGGCGGCAUGCUUUACACAUGCAAGUCGAACGGCAGCGCGGGCUUCGGCCUGGCGGCGAGUGGCGAACGGGUGAGUAAUGCAUCGGAACGUGCCCAGUAGUGGGGGAUAGCCCGGCGAAAGCCGGAUUAAUACCGCAUACGACCUGAGGGUGCAAGCGGGGGACCGAAAGGCCUCGCGCUAUUGGAGCGGCCGAUGUCGGAUUCGCUAGUUGGUGGGGUAAAGGCUUACCAAGGCGACGAUCCGUAGCUGGUCUGAGAGGACGACCAGCCACACGGGAACUGAGACACGGCCCAGACUCCUACGGGAGGCAGCAGUGGGGAAUUUUGGACAAUGGGGGCAACCCUGAUCCAGCCAUGCCGCGUGCGGGAAGAAGGCCUUCGGGUUGUAAACCGCUUUUGUUCGGGAAGAAAUCCUCUGGGCUAAUACCCCGGGGGGAUGACGGUACCGGAAGAAGAAGCACCGGCUAACUACGUG